rnacentral:rRNA from 2 species
UCCGGUGGUCAUAGCGAGAGGGAAACGCCCGGUCACAUUUCGAACCCGGAAGCUAAGCCUCUCAGCGCCGAUGGUACUGCAAGGGGGACCUUGUGGGAGAGUAGGACGCCGCCGGAC